rnacentral:snRNA from 1 species
GUAUUCACUUCAGCAGCACAUAUACUAAAAUUGGAAUGAUACAGAGAAGAUUAGCAUGGCCCCGGCACAAGGAUGACAUGCAAAUUCAUGAAGCGUUCCAUAUUUAA